GCUGGGCGUAGUGGGGCACACUUGUAAUCCCAGUGGCUCUGGAGGCUGAGGCAGGAGGAUCACCAGUUUAAAGCCAGCUUCAGCAAUUUAGCAAGGCUCUAAGUAACUGAGACCCUGUCUCUA
rnacentral:sRNA from 1 species